GACGGAGGGUGCAAGCGUUGUCCGGAUUUACUGGGCGUAAAGGGUCCGUAGGCGGUUUGGUGCGUCUUGUGUGAAAGGCUUGGGCUUAACCCAACGUUGUGCACAAGAUACGAUCAGACUACGAGAGUUUUCGGGGAUGUUGGAACUUGCGGUGGAGGGGUGAAAUCCGUUGAUAUCGCAAGGAACACCAACGGCGAAGGCGGACAUCUAGAAAACUUCUGACGCUGAGGGACGAAAGCUAGGGGAGCGA
rnacentral:rRNA from 1 species